GCGGGGUGUGGUGGUGCACACCUGUAGUCCCAGCACCUGGGAGGCUGAGACAGGAGUAUUGCUUGAACCCAGGAAGCGGAGGUUGCAGUGAGCUGAGAUUGCGCCACUGCAUUCCAGCCUGGGCCACAGAGCAAGAUUCUGUCUCAA
ensembl:misc_RNA Metazoa_SRP Metazoan signal recognition particle RNA